rnacentral:rRNA from 1 species
UGUAAGCGUAUACCAAAGUUGUUGCAGUUAAAACGCUCGUAGUCGGAAUUUGGCAGUUCCGGAAGUGUGCACGUCGUGUGCGCACUUUGCGGGGACUGCUUUUGUGGUCUUGCGUAGGAUGAGGCACUUUCAUUAGUGAACGUCCUCACGCAACCACUCUUUACUGUGAGAAAAUCAGAGUGCUCAAAGCAGGCAUUUGCCGUGAAUGUAUUAGCAUGGAAUAGUAGAAUAGGACUCGGUUCUAUUUUGUUGGUUUGUUGGGACUGAGUAAUGAUUAAGAGGGACAGUUGGGGGCAUUUGUAUUCCGGCGCUAGAGGUGAAAUUCUUAGAUUGCCGGAAGACAAACUGCUGCGAAAGCGUCUGCCAAGGAUGUUUUCAUUGA